CACCUUUGCGAAACGCCUCUGGGGCUCUAUAUUGCCCCUGUUCGGGCUUGCCCGGACUAUGGCGAUAAACGCGCCUGUAAUAAGCGGACCGGACCCGGGUGCGAUUCCGGCGGCUCCACCAAUCUCUUCCGCGUUAUCGGCGGGACUGUGCGGGGCCGACUAGCAUCGACGGACGUGUAAAGAGGAUUGCUUUCGCUCGUGGCCCACCGUAUCGGGCCAUUAAACUACCUGCGAACGAUAACUUCGCUGAGGGUUACGCCGUCGCCGCGUAAUGCGGUUCCGGUAAAUCCAACCUAAGUCCUGGGGGUUCAGAUCCCCAGGCGGGGCCUGUCGGGAGCCUGGCAACAGAAUCCCGGCGCU
rnacentral:tmRNA from 1 species